rnacentral:tRNA from 2 species
GGGGCAGUAGCCAAACGGUAAGGCUUGGAGCUUGCAACUCUUAAUCGCGGGUUUAAUUCCCGCCUGCCCCU